UACGUAGGCAGCGAGCGUUGUUCGGAGUUACUGGGCGUAAAGCGUGCGUAGGCGGUUUUGUAAGUUUGGUGUGAAAUCUCCCGGCUCAACUGGGAGGGUGCGCCGAAAACUGCAAGGCUGGAGUAUGGGAGAGGUAGGCGGAAUUCCUGGUGUAGCGGUGAAAUGCGCAGAUAUCAGGAGGAACACCAAUGGCGAAGGCAGCUCGCUGGGACGUGACUGACGCUGAGACGCGAAAGCGUGGGGAGCGAACAGG
rnacentral:rRNA from 1 species